rnacentral:rRNA from 1 species
GAUGAACGCUGGCGGCGUGCCUAAUACAUGCAAGUCGAGCGAACGGACGAGAAGCUUGCUUCUCUGAUGUUAGCGGCGGACGGGUGAGUAACACGUGGAUAACCUACCUAUAAGACUGGGAUAACUUCGGGAAACCGGAGCUAAUACCGAAUAAUAUUUUGAACCGCAUGGUUCAAAAGUGAAAGACGGUCUUGCUGUCACUUAUAGAUGGAUCCGCGCUGCAUUAGCUAGUUGGUAAGGUAACGGCUUACCAAGGCAACGAUGCAUAGCCGACCUGAGAGGGUGAUCGGCCACACUGGAACUGAGACACGGUCCAGACUCCUACGGGAGGCAGCAGUAGGGAAUCUUACGCAAUGGGCGAAAGCCUGACGGAGCAACGCCGCGUGAGUGAUGAAGGUCUUCGGAUCGUAAAACUCUGUUAUUAGGGAAGAACAUAUGUGUAAGUAACUGUGCACAUCUUGACGGUACCUAAUCAGAAAGCCACGGCUAACUACGUG